GGGAGCAGCAGCGCGAAACCUUUACACUGCACGACAGUGCGAUAGGGGGAUCCCAAGUGCACAGGCAUAGCGCCUGUGCUUUUCGGUACCGUAAAGGUGGUACCAGAAUAAGGGCUGGGCAAGACCGGUGCCAGCCGCCGCGGUAAUACCGGCAGCCCAAGUGAUGGCCGAUCUUAUUGGGCCUAAAGCGUCCGUAGCUGGCCGCGCAAGUCCAUCGGGAAAUCCACCUGCUCAACAGGUGGGCGCCCGGUAGAAACUGCGUGGCUUGGGACCGGAAGGCGCGACGGGUACGUCCGGGGUAGGAGUGAAAUCCCGUAAUCCUGGACGGACCGCCGAUGGCGAAAGCACGUCGCGAGGACGGAUCCGACAGUGAGGGACGAAAGCCAGGGUCUCGAACCGGAUUAGAUACCCGGGUAGUCCUGGCCGUAAACAAUGUCUGCUAGGUGUGGCUCCCACUACGAGUGGGUGCUGUGCCGUAGGGAAGCCGCUAAGCAGACCGCCUGGGAAGUACGUCCGCAAGGAUGAAACUUAAAGGAAUUGGCGGGGGAGCACUACAACCGGAGGAGCCUGCG
rnacentral:rRNA from 1 species